CCCUUCUGUGAUUGCAGGUUAGCUUCCUGGUUUGCUGCGUUUCCUCGAUCGACGUGGUGGACAGGCGGCGGCCAGGCGUAUUCUGGUUCUGCUAUGGAUCGCCGGUGAUGGAUUAUUGACGUCCAUUAUAUGAAGUUUGGUGAACACUGCUUCGUUGCGCGAACAAAGAACCCGCUUGGGCGACGAGGCGGCCAGACAGGUUUUGAUUCUGUUCCCCGUCGAUGGAUAGUCGCCGGCCAUUGUCUGAUCUGACCAACACCUCUAUCACUCGUGGGGUCCGAAAAUGAUCAAGAACAGAUGCUGGGUUGCAUGAUGGUCUGAACACAAACCCUGACGAACGAGGAUUGGCUUUUGGUGAUGAAAACACUCCAUGCCCGAAUGAACGAACGAGGUCAAGUUCUAGGCAAAGACAUGCUUCCAUGUCUGAGGACAAAAGGGCCGCGCUUAACGCCAAGCGCCGGGAGAACUACCAUCGUAAGAAGGCUGAAGUCCUUGCGGCAUCAGAUGCUUCACCCGUGGGUGUCGUGCCGUUACCGACUCCGCUAUCUGGACAGUCGGCGGUAUAUUUGACCCUCGGUGAAGUUACACCUGGAUCAAGAGGUGUCGUUCCGUUAUCUACUCCGAUCCCAUGACUGGACUGUCAGCGGUAUAUUUGAACCAGGGCGAA